rnacentral:rRNA from 1 species
UACCAAGCCGUUGAUCGGUACGGGUUGUGAGAGCAAGAGCCCGGAGAUGGAACCUGAGACAAGGUUCCAGGCCCUACGGGGUGCAGCAGGCGCGAAACCUCCGCAAUGUGAGAAAUCGCGACGGGGGGAUCCCAAGUGCCAUUCUUAACGGGAUGGCUUUUCAUUAGUGUAAAGAGCUUUUGGAAUAAGGGCUGGGCAAGACCGGUGCCAGCCGCCGCGGUAACACCGGCAGCUCUAGUGGUAGCAGUUUUUAUUGGGCCUAAAGCGUCCGUAGCCGGUUUAAUAAGUCUCUGGUGAAAUCCUGUAGCUUAACUGUGGGAAUUGCUGGAGAUACUAUUAGACUUGAGACCGGGAGAGGUUAGAGGUACUCCCAGGGUAGAGGUGAAAUUCUGUAAUCCUGGGAGGACCGCCUGUUGCGAAGGCGUCUAACUGGAACGGUUCUGACGGUGAGGGACGAAAGUUAGGGGCGCGAACCGGAUUAGAUACCCGGGUAGUCCUAACUGUAAACGAUGCGGACUUGGUGUUGGGGGUGGCUUUGAGCUGCUCCAGUGCCGAAGGGAAGCUGUUAAGUCCGCCGCCUGGGAAGUACGGUCGCAAGACUGAAACUUAA